UUAUCUAUUACAAAGACAAAGGAUUGACUAUUAUCGCAACGUUAAGCAACUAAUCCAGUCAUAAAUUAGGAAGCUGUUAUCGAAUCAUUACUUAUCAGUGUAGUCUAGCAAUUUCAAAUUGAUAAACUAAAUUACUAAUUCAAAAGACCCAUAUUUCGAAUUUCUGAUUAGCUGUUCGUGAGAGGAGAAUAUUAAACGGUACAAUUAUGGUGUACACUAAUAUCGACGGGUCAAAAAUCAUGGGCCCUUAUCACGAAAUCAAGAAGGAUAACGAUAAGCGUACAAUGAAUGCAUCCAAGAAACAAACUCAAAAUCAGCAAGAUAUAUAUAUGAAAAAUGAUAAGAAGUAUGGUGCUUGGGGACCAGUUUACAAAAACAAGGAAAAUUUCGUCAACAUGCAUAUUUGUUAAUCCUUUAUAAUCUAUAUACAUAUAUAUAUAUAUAUAUACAUAUAUAUAAAAUGUAUACAUAAAAAUAUAUAUUUGAUUUUAAUUCGU